GCCCGAAGAAAUUCGGAUUAAUGCUCCAUGGUUUAUCGAUAUGGCAUCGUAUUGAUAAUAAAGAUUUAUCGGUAUAAGAUGGGCAUGCGUAUCAUUAGCUAGUUGGUGUGGUAACGGCAUACCAAGGCAACGAUGAUUAGGGGUCCUGAGAGGGAGAUCCCCCACACUGGUACUGAGACACGGACCAGACUCCUACGGGAGGCAGCAGUGAGGAAUAUUGGUCAAUGGAGGCAACUCUGAACCAGCCAUGCCGCGUGCAGGAUGACGGUCCUAUGGAUUGUAAACUGCUUUUGUACAGGAAGAAACCUCCCUACGAGUAGGGACUUGACGGUACUGUAAGAAUAAGGAUCGGCUAACUCCGUGCCAGCAGCCGCGGUAAUACGGAGGAUCCGAGCGUUAUCCGGAAUUAUUGGGUUUAAAGGGUUCGUAGGCGGCUUUGUAAGUCAGUGGUGAAAUUUCCUAGCUUAACUAGGACACUGCCAUUGAUACUGCAGAGCUUGAAUAAUAUGGAAGUAACUAGAAUAUGUAGUGUAGCGGUGAAAUGCUUAGAUAUUACAUGGAAUACCAAUUGCGAAGGCAGGUUACUACGUAUUUAUUGACGCUGAUGAACGAAAGCGUGGGGAGCGAACAGGAUUAGAUACCCUGGUAGUCCACGCCGUAAACGAUGGAUACUAGCUGUUCGGUUUUCGGACUGAGUGGCUAAGCGAAAGUGAUAAGUAUCCCACCUGGGGAGUACGUUCGCAAGAAUGAAACUCAAAGGAAUUGACGGGGGCCCGCACAAGCGGUGGAGCAUGUGGUUUAAUUCGAUGAUACGCGAGGAACCUUACCAGGGCUUAAAUGUAGAUUGACAGAUUUGGAAACAGAUUUUUCUUCGGACAAUUUACAAGGUGCUGCAUGGUUGUCGUCAGCUCGUGCCGUGAGGUGUCAGGUUAAGUCCUAUAACGAGCGCAACCCCUAUUGUUAGUUACCAGCGCGUAGUGGCGGGGACUCUAGCAAGACUGCCGGUGCAAACCGUGAGGAAGGUGGGGAUGACGUCAAAUCAUCACGGCCCUUACGUCCUGGGCUACACACGUGCUACAAUGGCAAGUACAGAAAGCAGCUACCUGGCAACAGGAUGCGAAUCUCCAAAGCUUGUCUCAGUUCGGAUUGGAGUCUGCAACUCGACUCUAUGAAGCUGGAAUCGCUAGUAAUCGGAUAUCAGCCAUGAUCCGGUGAAUACGUUCCCGGGCCUUGUACACACCGCCCGUCAAGCCAUGGAAGCUGGGGGUACCUGAAGUCGGUGACCGCA
rnacentral:rRNA from 1 species